rnacentral:rRNA from 1 species
AGUUUUAUGAAAUUUUAUAAAAUGAAACCUGCCCAAUGAAGAUUUAAUGGCCGCAGUACUUUAACUGUGCUAAGGUAGCAUAAUAAUUUGGCUUUUAAUUAAAGUCUGGUAUGAAAGGAUUAAUGGGUGAAAUCUGUCUUGUUUGACUUAAAAAAAAUUACUUAAGAGGUGAAAAUACCUCUGGAGAAUAAUUAGACGAGAAGACCCUAGGAGUUUUUGUUUUGUUGGGGCAACAUUUUAGUAAGGUAAUCUAUUUAUUAUAUUUAACGAAUAUAUUAAUUAUAAUUAAACUACCCUAGGGAUAACAGCAUAAUUUUUUUAAAGAUUGUGACCUCGAUGUUGG